CUAGCUACAGGCUUAACACAUGCAAGUCGAGGGGCAUCAGGAAGAAAGCUUGCUUUCUUUGCUGGCGACCGGCGCACGGGUGAGUAACACGUAUCCAACCUGCCCUUUACUCGGGGAUAGCCUUUCGAAAGAAAGAUUAAUACCCGAUAGCAUAAUGAUUCCGCAUGGUUUCAUUAUUAAAGGAUUCCGGUAAAGGAUGGGGAUGCGUUCCAUUAGGUUGUUGGUGAGGUAACGGCCCACCAAGCCUUCGAUGGAUAGGGGUUCUGAGAGGAAGGUCCCCCACAUUGGAACUGAGACACGGUCCAAACUCCUACGGGAGGCAGCAGUGAGGAAUAUUGGUCAAUGGGCGCUAGCCUGAACCAGCCAAGUAGCGUGAAGGAUGAAGGCUCUAUGGGUCGUAAACUUCUUUUAUAUAAGAAUAAAGUGCAGUAUGUAUACUGUUUUGUAUGUAUUAUAUGAAUAAGGAUCGGCUAACUCCGUGCCAGCAGCCGCGGUAAUACGGAGGAUCCGAGCGUUAUCCGGAUUUAUUGGGUUUAAAGGGAGCGUAGGUGGACUGGUAAGUCAGUUGUGAAAGUUUGCGGCUCAACCGUAAAAUUGCAGUUGAUACUGUCAGUCUUGAGUACAGUAGAGGUGGGCGGAAUUCGUGGUGUAGCGGUGAAAUGCUUAGAUAUCACGAAGAACUCCGAUUGCGAAGGCAGCUCACUGGACUGCAACUGACACUGAUGCUCGAAAGUGUGGGUAUCAAACAGGAUUAGAUACCCUGGUAGUCCACACAGUAAACGAUGAAUACUCGCUGUUUGCGAUAUACAGUAAGCGGCCAAGCGAAAGCAUUAAGUAUUCCACCUGGGGAGUACGCCGGCAACGGUGAAACUCAAAGGAAUUGACGGGGGCCCGCACAAGCGGAGGAACAUGUGGUUUAAUUCGAUGAUACGCGAGGAACCUUACCCGGGCUUAAAUUGCAGUGGAAUGAUGUGGAAACAUGUCAGUGAGCAAUCACCGCUGUGAAGGUGCUGCAUGGUUGUCGUCAGCUCGUGCCGUGAGGUGUCGGCUUAAGUGCCAUAACGAGCGCAACCCUUAUCUUUAGUUACUAACAGGUUAUGCUGAGGACUCUAGAGAGACUGCCGUCGUAAGAUGUGAGGAAGGUGGGGAUGACGUCAAAUCAGCACGGCCCUUACGUCCGGGGCUACACACGUGUUACAAUGGGGGGUACAGAAGGCAGCUAGCGGGUGACCGUAUGCUAAUCCCAAAAUCCUCUCUCAGUUCGGAUCGAAGUCUGCAACCCGACUUCGUGAAGCUGGAUUCGCUAGUAAUCGCGCAUCAGCCACGGCGCGGUGAAUACGUUCCCGGGCCUUGUACACACCGCCCGUCAAGCCAUGGGAGCCGGGGGUACCUGAAGUACGUAACCGCAAGGAUCGUCCUAGGGUAAAACUGGUGACUGG
rnacentral:rRNA from 1 species